GUGAGUGUGGUUAUCAGAGCAGGUCGAAUGCAGGAGAAAAUCUCCUCCGUAACAGCGCGGUGGUUCAAAUUCCAUCCACUCACA
rnacentral:tRNA from 1 species